rnacentral:rRNA from 1 species
GGGCCUACGGGGGGCAGCAGUGGGGAAUAUUGCACAGUGGGGGGAACCCUGAUGCAGCGACGCCGCGUGGGUGAAGGAGUACUUCGGUACGUAAAGCCCUAUCAGCAGGAAAGAAAAUGACGGUACCUGACUAAGAAGCCCCGGCUAACUACGUGCCAGCAGCCGCGGUAAUACGUAGGGGGCAAGCGUUAUCCGGAUUUACUGGGUUUAAAGGGUGCGCAGGCGGCGUGUC